AUCCAGAAACAAGCUUUCAAGUUUAUCUAAGAAGCCUUUUCGCCAUCUGAGUUUGUCUGAUUUGAUCCUAGUGGACAAUCCAUUCAAAUGUUCCUGUGACAUUAUGUGGAUCAAGAUAUUUCAAGAGACCAAGUUUUCUAAUGCAGAAACUCAGGAUUUUUAUUGCAUAAAUGACAACAACAAGAGGAUAGCCCUGAUGGAAAUGCAGAUCCCAAACUGCGGCUUGCCUUUGGCAAACUUAAGCAGUUAUAACCUCACUGUUCUGGAAGGAAAUAGCAUCACAGUGUAUUGUGAUGCCACUGGAGUGCCACUUCCCAACGUAUCCUGGGCUUUCACUAAUCUUGUUUCAAACCAUGAGAGUGAUACAAGUAAGAAUCCUGCCUCAUUAACCAUAAAGAAUGUUUCUUCUAAGGACAGUGGACUACGGAUUUCUUGUUUAGCAGAAAAUAUUGUGGGAGAAGACCAAGCUUCUGUUGAGCUCAUGGUGUUCUUUGCACCAAAUAUCACAUUUAUUGAAUCUCCAACCUCGGACCACCACUGGUGCAUUCCAUUCACUGUGAAAGGGAACCCUAAACCCACACUGCAGUGGUUCUAUGAAGGGGCUAUACUGAAUGAGUCAGAAUACAUCUGUACUAAAAUACAUGUUAUCAAUCAAAGUGAAUACCACGGCUGCCUUCAGUUGGACAACCCUACGCACUUGAACAAUGGAGCUUAUACCUUACUGGCAAAGAAUGAGUAUGGAGAAGAUGAGAAGCGAGUUGAUGCUCAUUUCAUGUCAAUGCCAGGAGAUGGUAGUGGCCCAAUCCUAGAUCCUGAUCUUUAUGAUUAUGAAACCACACCUAACGAUAUUGGAGACACCACAAAUAACAGUAAUCAGAUCACUUCUACGGGUUUUAUCAACACAGAGAAUGAAGAUAGCAUCACUGUGUAUGUUGUGGUGGGGAUUGCAGCACUGGUGUGCACUGGCUUAGUGAUAAUGCUCAUUAUUCUGAAAUUUGGAAGACACUCUAAGUUUGGGAUGAAAGGUCCUUCUUCAGUUAUCAGCAAUGAUGAUGAUUCAGCAAGUCCCCUCCAUCAUAUUUCAAAUGGGAGUAACACUCCAUCAUCUUCUGAAGGCGGCCCAGAUGCUGUCAUCAUUGGAAUGACAAAGAUUCCUGUCAUUGAAAAUCCUCAGUACUUUGGGAUCACCAACAGCCAACUGAAGCCAGACACCUUUGUUCAACACAUCAAGAGACACAAUAUUGUUCUAAAAAGAGAGCUUGGAGAAGGAGCUUUUGGAAAAGUCUUCCUGGCUGAAUGCUAUAAUCUCUGUCCUGAACAGGACAAGAUCUUGGUGGCAGUGAAGACACUAAAAGACGCUAGUGAUAAUGCUCGGAAAGACUUCCACCGAGAGGCAGAGUUGCUGACUAAUCUACAGCAUGACCACAUAGUGAAGUUUUAUGGAGUUUGCAUAGAGGGCGAUCCACUCAUCAUGGUCUUUGAGUAUAUGAAGCAUGGAGAUCUCAACAAAUUCCUGAGGGCACAUGGACCAGAUGCAGUGCUGAUGGCUGAAGGUAAUCGUCCAGCUGAGUUGACCCAAUCCCAGAUGCUACAUAUUGCUCAGCAGAUUGCAGCUGGUAUGGUUUAUUUGGCAUCACAGCACUUUGUGCAUCGGGAUCUUGCCACGCGGAACUGCCUCGUUGGUGAGAACCUGCUGGUGAAGAUUGGAGAUUUUGGAAUGUCCAGAGAUGUGUACAGCACUGAUUACUACAGGGUUGGUGGUCAUACUAUGUUGCCCAUUCGUUGGAUGCCUCCUGAGAGUAUCAUGUACCGGAAGUUCACCACAGAGAGUGAUGUUUGGAGCUUAGGGGUCGUUUUAUGGGAAAUUUUCACGUAUGGCAAGCAGCCAUGGUAUCAGCUCUCAAACAAUGAGGUGAUCGAGUGUAUUACUCAGGGCCGAGUCCUGCAGCGACCCCGCACAUGCCCAAAGGAAGUGUAUGACUUGAUGCUGGGUUGUUGGCAACGGGAGCCUCACAUGAGGCUCAACAUCAAAGAAAUCCAUUCUCUCCUUCUGAACUUGGCCAAGGCUUCUCCAGUCUAUCUGGAUAUUCUAGGCUAGACGCUCCUAGCAUUUCCUCUUGGGCUGGGUGAAUGAAUAUGCUCAACUGCCGCUGAACUCCAUUACAAUGUGUUCUUAAUUCUGACAGUAUUAAUGACAAAGAUGAGGAGAAGCUUUCAAAGGGCAAGCAAUGUGCACUUCUCCAUCUGUAGACACAGUAUUGACUUUUCAGACAUUACUGAGACGUAUCUCGUAUCUCUUUCUCUCACACUUCUGUUUCUCUCAUUUUUUCUCUCUUCUCUCUUUCUAAUCAACCUGGCUUCUGCAUUAUUGUAUCUCUGCAUAGACAAAGGCCUUAAAAACCGAAUCUGUUAUAUCAGCAGAGACUCCAGUUUGCCCACCGCAACUAACAAUGCCUUGUUGUAUUCAUGCCUUUGAUGUGGAUGAAAAAAAGGGAAAAAAAUGACUCAAACUUUGGGACUUCUGCUGUACAGAUACUGGGAGUUUCUAUGGAUUCACCUCUACUUUUUUGCUUUGCCAUGUGGGUGGAAAAAGAUGACUGGUGUUCUCUAUGGGAAACAUAUUUCUGGCUGAGAUAAAGCCAGAUGGAAAGAAAACAGCAUUGCAUGAUCCACUAUAUGGAGGAACUGUGGGAUCAGAUGGUAUCCAACCCCACUAAAGACACUAAAAUAAUUUAAUGGAAGGAAGGAAAGGAGUUGGAUUUAACUUUUUAACUUGGGUGGAGGAAAUACUAGAAUGCCAGAAAUAUAUAGAACAACCAACAUUUUUGUCCAAAAGAUUGUAUAAAAGCAGUCCUACCAUUCUCAUCUUAUCCAUUGAUUUCUCACAGGGAAAUUAACAGAUUGGCUUCAAAGUUCCAAGAAGAGAUUUUGAUUUACUAUCAUUUCUGGUUUGGGGCUAUUGAUUUAUUGUUCAAGAGCAACAUUGCUGUUCCACUGAUAUUUACACUUGUUGGAAGUAACAAAAUAAUUCCAAGAAUGAGCUGGAAUAUUCAGACUGAUAGAACAAUGGUAAGAACGUCCAAAACCCUGCAGUAAUAAUAGCAGCAGCUAGUACUGGGCAUUUUCCACAUUCUGUCCUUCACCCUCAAUAAAUCUGCAGGACUCCGCAACUGGCUGUGGAGAAGAGUAUUUGUAAAGCAACAGCACCCCAUGAUGCAUGAUGGAGUGUACAAGUUUUACAAAGGAGCUCAUUCAUUUUGAUUUGUAAACAAAUAUAUCUCUAUAUUGUCUACAGUUUAAUAAACAAUUGCCAUUUAUUUCUCUUUCUCUCUCUCUUUCUCAUGCUCCUCUUUGAAGCUAGUUUUGUUAUGGUUGAUGUAGACUUUUACAAAACAAAAGAGAAAAGAAAUUACCCAACAAAAUGAUUGAGUCACUGGCUGAUGAAGUUACAAUGCGCAUGCGUUAGAACAAGACUGUCUCUGGGUUGCUGCAGCCUGUGAAUGGAUUUCAGAUACUGCUAUCAGGAUACAAGGGGUGGGUAGGGGAGGCGUUGGGGUUUCUAGUUGAAGAUGAAGGUUUUGAUAGCACAGAAAGCUGUAUUUUCUUGUUGUCAGGGCUGGGAUGAACCACUGCUACUCUGAGUCAAGAGGUCCUUGAAAAGCCUUAGUUCAAACAUCUUAACAUCCUUUAUUUUUUAUUUUAUUUUAUUUUAUUUUUGCUACAUUCAUCACAAAUAUGAAGCAAAAAAAUGUCUACGUGUUGCAGGGAAAACACUGUGAAUUUCACAACAACAACCAAGUGACUAUUUUGCCAUCUUUUUAACAUACGUCUCAGGAGAAGAAAUGGGAAAUGAUGGGUAUAUUAUUUUACUGUCUAUGCAUUCUAGACCAGGUCUAUGGUGUUUUUUGUUCGCUUGUUGAAGGUUCUGAGCGAAGAUUGGCUGAAAUGUAUUUUAUAAACACAGAAUACUUUGGGCAAGCAUAGUAGAAGCUGCUUGUAAUGGGGCUGUUUGACAGGAAGAUGUAAGAAAACAAAAAUCAAAUCAAUUUUUUUUCAGAGGCCUAUACCUUGCAGCUUAAUGUAUCUUUCUGUAACUUAAAGAAACACAAAUGUUGAAUAAGCAGCUAAGAAUGUUUUAUAUACAAGUAAUUCAAUUCAAUGUGGAUGUUAAAUUACAUCACCAAUAGAGAGAGAAUCAAUUUACUAUAUACUUAAUAGUCCCAGCCCAGCUCUCCACCUAUACUUUAUGUAUAUAUUUCUAGAUAUCACUCUCUCUAUCUCUCAAGACCGAGAGGGAGAUAUCUACAUAUAAAUAUAGAACUCUAUAUUGUCACUAAAACUGUGACCUGGUGUUUAGAGCUAUCUUUCUCCUUUCUUUUUAGUUUUCUUUUUUUUUAAUGUAAUGUCUCUGUGCAGCUAUUUAGUGGUUCUUGGGUUGCAAUUCGUUUAUAGAAAUCCAUUGCUUUAAAAGAUCCAUUGCAUCUUGGCUGAUUUCAAAGUGACGCCUGAGUAUCAGUGUUAAAAAGUUUUGUUUGUGAAUCAUGUGACCAGCUUCUCUCAACAUGACAUGGAAAGUCUCUUGUACUACAGUGUAUUUAAUAAAAAUGAUGUCUUACAAUAAACAGUGUCAUCCAAAAGAA